rnacentral:rRNA from 1 species
AGAGUUUGAUCCUGGCUCAGGAUGAACGCUAGCGGCAGGCCUAAUACAUGCAAGACGAACGGUAACUUUGGUAGCAAUAUUGAAGCAAGAGUGUCGUAAGGGUGCGUAACACGUAUGCAAUCUGCCCUCAACAGGAGGAUAGCUCCCCGAAAGGGGAAUUAACACUCCAUAAGAUCAUGGGAUGGCAUCAUUCAGUGAUUAAAACUACGGUGGUUGAGGAUGAGCAUGCGCAUGAUUAGUUAGUUGGCGGGGUAAUGGCCCACCAAGACGAUGAUCAUUAGGGGAACUGAGAGGUUGAUCCCCCACACUGGCACUGAGAUACGGGCCAGACUCCUACGGGAGGCAGCAGUAGGGAAUAUUGGACAAUGGGUGCGAGCCUGAUCCAGCCAUGCCGCGUGCAGGAAGACGGCCUUCUGGGUUGUAAACUGCUUUUGCCAGGGGAUAAAAAGAGCGUGCGCGCUUUAUUGAAGGUACCUGGUGAAUAAGCCACGGCUAACUACGUGCCAGCAGCCGCGGUAAUACGUAGGUGGCAAGCGUUGUCCGGAUUUAUUGGGUUUAAAGGGUGCGUAGGCGGUCAUAUAAGUCAGUGGUGAAAUACUUCAGCUCAACUGGAGAGGUGCCAUUGAUACUGUAUGACUUGAGUACAGACGAGGUAGGCGGAAUUGACGGUGUAGCGGUGAAAUGCUUAGAUAUCGUCAAGAACACCGAUAGCGAAGGCAGCUUACUAGACUGUAACUGACGCUGAUGCACGAAAGUGUGGGGAUCAAACAGGAUUAGAUACCCUGGUAGUCC